GAUGAAGAACGUAGCGAAAUGCGAUAGGUAGUGUGAAUUGCAGAUGUAACGUGAAUCAUCGAAUCUUUGAACGCAAAUUGCACUCUCUGGUAUUCCGGGGAGUAUGCCUGUUUGAGGGUCGUCUAAAUAAACAUCGAUUUUAUUGCUUAUUUUAAGUAAAUAUUAUCGGAUUUGAGCUUUUCUUUAUAUAAUUCUUAAUAUAUAAAGUAGCUUAAAAUUUUUUUUUUUGGUAUGAUCAAAAAGCGUAUUUUACAGUCAAUUCUUGAUUAAAAAACGCUUGAAUUUUUGUAUACCACACACCAUUAUUGUGUAAUACGUUUGACUUGUAUUUCUAGUUCAUUCGUAUACGAAUUUUUUUCAAUUUUAGACCUCAAAUCAGGUAAGAAUACCCGCUGAACUUAAGCAUAUCAAUAAGCGGAGGA
rnacentral:misc_RNA from 1 species